rnacentral:lncRNA from 1 species
UUCCACUAGACAUCAACCUGAGCUUAUAGCUUAUCAUGUGAAAAGCAGUCAGUUUUAAUAUUCACUUGGUUGCCCACUUGGGACUUGAUGCUUCCUUUUAAUGUUUAAUAAACAUUCCACUUGUCGUUUAAAGACUUCAAUGGUUACUAAUAUGUUUCACAUUUAUAUUCCCUCCCAACACCAUGUCAGCUCAAAUAUGAUUAUUAUUCAACUAUUAUUUACCUCCAAAGCAUAUUGAUAUUCUCUCAAUACCCUCAAUUCUCAUUACUCCUUCAAAGUAUUAACAUAUCCUUUUAGAACCAGCCCGGCUCACCUCUAAACUUGAUACACUGGUGAUCUCUGACCCCAUU